rnacentral:rRNA from 1 species
AGUAAGAUCCCUGAAAGAUGAUCAGGUUGAUAGGUCUGAGGUGGAAGCGUGGUGACACGUGGAGCUGACAGAUACUAAUAGAUCGAGGACUUAACCUAU